AAAAACCACACAAUAAAUGCCACCUGGCUAUAUUUUAAUUCUUUUUCUGAACACAAGAACAUAUAUUCAUGCAGUUAUAACCCAUAUAGGAAUUCCAUUUUUCUAUUUUGUGAUUUAUACUCAAUAUUAUUUUGAAGAGCCAUUGUUAUGAGUUGACACAUUAUCUUGGUUAUUUUAAAAAGUUUACUCAGUAAGUAUUUCAUUAUAAAUCUGGCUUGCUAAAAAUUCUCCUAUUGCCAAACAUUUGGAUUUUUUUCCCAUGAGCUAAAUAGGGCUGCUGUAAAAUUCUCUGACACACAAGAGAGUUAAAAUCCAAACAUAAAAGCUAUAUUACUUCUGCUAGCUCUACAAAUGAUCAUGUCUGAAACAUGAUAACAGUACACUCUCAAAAACACUGCCAGAUAAUUAUUUUUUAAAAUGCAACUAGACUGUAAACUCACAGGAUGGCUCUAUCACACCCAAUGAUCUGUCAGACUGCCCAGUGUGGCUUUCACCGAGAUCUGUGACUUGACCUGAAAUGGUUUUUAAAAUUCUGAAGUUCCCUACAGACACUGUGUAUUCCUUUCCAUAUUCAAUGGUGCAUCUCAAUGUUACUAUGUAAACUCAGAUGUGCUGAUAAAGACUUCAGUCUAUGUCCAAAUACUGUACUCUGUACUCUAAAUCAGACGGUUUUGUUAAUACUGUCUCCACCCUCAUAAUUAGCCUGCAGAUGCCAUCGAGUUCAAGCUCAAUGUUUCCUUUUCCCCCAAGGGAAGGUUGAGUCUGCAGACUGGCUGUUCAGGGCUCAGGGGUUGGUUGGUCAUUCCAGGUCCAGCAGUGGGUUCUUGCCUUUUAGACCUCGGACAUUGAAGUCUAAAGGAGCAGACAGGGACAGAUGAGCAUUGUGAGGACGUGCUCUGAGGCUGCCUUGGUGCCCUGAUGGCUCUCAUGCAACAGGAGCACCUCGGAAAUACAAAUCAAGACAAUCGAGACAGUCGGGCAUCCGGACACAUCCUUGUAACUUUCAUUAUACCUGAUUUGCUUCUUCAAGCACUUAAGCUGGCAAGAGAUAGCUUCACAGAGAAGGUACACGUGGUCUAGGUCAAUGCUCCUCAAACUGCCAUUGGUAAAGAACAUGUUUUUGUUAUUUUUUUCAAUAUGCUACCAAUUUGUACUUUACUUUUAUAAAAUGUGAUAAAUAUUUUAUAAAAUGUGAUAAAAGUAAUU
rnacentral:lncRNA from 1 species